UUUUUUAUUAAGUGCCUCUAGAUUUACUUUUUGGGACAAUUGUAAAUACUAACUAAAUAAGAGACACUAAUAUUUUAAAUUUCAGGAAUUAAAACUUUCAGGGGAAACAAUCGCGCCUUUCUUAUUUCUGGGGACUCUUCUCUUCCUCCUCAAUCCAAAUUCCCUAUUCUUCCAAUUACCCUAUCAUUCAAACAUCCACCAGUUUCUAAUUUCACGUUAGCCAAAAAAACUCAAACUCGGAAACCUGACUCACGUUAUUGCCGCCGCUGUGCCCGCCGCUGCGCUGUCGUAAUCUCGAAGCCGCUGCUGUACCGCCGACAUCCUCUUCUCCGUUUCCAGUUGCUGCUGUGCCUUCUACCCCAUAUCCUAGGCAUCGAUUUUGCUCCUUGUGUGGCGCUGCGAUCGGUGUUCUCGCCCCAAUCGAAAGCCCCAAUCGAAGAAGCCUAGGUUUUUGAGACAUUAUUGAAGUAGUCGGGAACCUUCUAAACAUAGAUCUUCGGGACAAGCCUGCACUUGAGACGCCUUUUGCUUCUCAAAAGUAAGUCUGAUAUAUUGUUUCUCAUCCAUACCCACAGAAAGCUUCUAAAAUUGCUCCAGUUCUUUCACAAGAGUGACUAUCCUUCCAUGGCUCGGCUGCUGUUCCUGAUAACGAAUUUGGAAGGAGGCCUAAUCCUUCUGCAAUACGAAGAAAUGAAACUGCUGCAUCUACACCUGGCUGGACAGAGAAACCAUUGUAGAAUACCAAUUUUUCGCAUACAACUCAAAAAGAGAUGAGAAGGCAGUGCCAGCCUUAUUGGCUUAUUUUUUUUAUAGUUUACUGUUUAAACAUGGCACCUUCCUCUCUCCCUCAUGCAUCUCAGCGGCAAAUGCAGUGUUACUUUUACUUUGAUCAAAGAAAUCCAGUUCUCUUCUCUGAAUUGACAUUUAAAUAUCUUAAGUGUAAGCUCAUAACAUCUCAUGAUCUCUGUCUUUGUCUCUUAAACAGGUACUAUUGUUGAUGAGAAAUCUCUCGAGCAAUUUGGCUAGUCGUGAUUUUGAGGAUCAUAGAAGGCUGCUUUCAUCAUAUGAGACUGACCUCGAGAAGGAUGAUGCUUUUGAUGUAAUUGAUUCUAUCCUUUGUAGCCAUUCUGAAGGUGCAGGCUAACUUUGUGUAUUAUUGUAGCCAAAAGAAUAUGAUAUGAUUGUAUUUGUACAAUAAGUGUCUUUUUUACACUUAUUUAUAUAAUAAUUUUAGAGCA